rnacentral:lncRNA from 10 species
ACCUAAGUCAGCAGAGGCAACCCACUUGGGUCCCAUUCCAUGCUGUGGAAGGUUUGUUCUUUUGCACUUCACAAUAAAUCUUGCUGCUGCUCGCUCUUUGGGUCCGCACCACCUUUAUGAGCUAUAUCACUCACUGUGAAGGUCUGCGGCUUCACUCCUGAAGUCAGCAAGACCACGAACCCACCAGGAGGAACAAACAACUCUGGACGCGCCACCUUUAAGAGCUGUAGCAACCACUGCGAAGGUUUGUGUCUUCACUCCUGAAGUCACGCCAGACCACAAACCCACUGGAAGGAAGAAACUCCAGACACAUCUGGACAUCUGAAGGAACAGACUCAGGAAACAAUCUUUAAGAACUGUAACACUCACCGCCAGGGUUCAUGGCUCCAUUCUUGAAGUCAGCCAGACCAAGAAGCCACCAGAAGGAACCAAUUCCAGACACGGGAGCACAGAUGUACCCUGAAUAUAUGCCUUCGUUACAGAAGCUUUUUGAGUUUUAAGACAUAUGCUGAAAAAGAAGUGUGGCAGUGGCUCACCACCUACGAAGAAAAAUCCAAAUUACUCUGUUUAAACAGGCAACCUUGAAAUACGAUAUGCACUGGAUUUGAGUUCUGUUAACUCUGUGUGAGUCACUUCUGGAGGCACGUGAGGUAAUGGAGAAAGAAAGAAUACCUACUCAAUAUUCCACUUCUUUUAUAAAUUGAAAAUAAAAUGAUUAAACAUAAUAUUAAUUACUAAUAGUUGCUAGAUUGAAAAUGAGCAAGUUGUGAAAAGUUAUUUAUGUUUUAAUAAAUACCAAACUUCUGAGCUUAGCAUCAGGGUUACCAAUCAUGUUUUCUCUUGACUGCUGCUUUAUUUUUCCUCUUGGAGACAGAUGGCUUGGUGUCACACAUUAUUUUAGUGUGUUGAGGUAUGCUCCUGGUAUGACUCAUCUAGUUUCCUGAACCAUGGCUAGUUAGCAUAUCUUAACUUGGCUAAUGACAACAAAAUUGUAACACCUUGAGAACUAGUAUUGAAAUAAUGGCAAAAUAAUAAUAUUUAUUUCAGAAAAAAAAGAAUGAUGAGGAUGGCUUGAGAAAUGAAACAAAACAAAACAAAACAAUAAACAAAAAAACCCAGAAUGUUUAGAGACUUGAAAAAGAGUUGCCUGUGCAAGCAGAAAACACACACACAUACACACAUAGAAUGAGAAGAUGGCAUUGUUAGUGUUAAAGCAACAGCCAAAGCAUGAACUCAUGUCUACCUGCUUUUUUUAGCUCUCCUGGAGAUAAUUAACAAAUGUAGGUCUCUCCACAGCAACACUCUUCUGUUGGCCCAUGACCAACAGGUAACUACAUUCCCAAAGAUACUGGUCUAAUUCCUUCUCCCUGGCAAAAGAGCUCAGGGGAAAAGCACAGCUCGGUCUCUCUUUUUCAGUCACAUCUACCUACUCCCAACAGGCUUCACCCAAACAACAAGUCCAAGGAUUCUGAACAAGAUGUUUUUCUUUUCAGCAUGUCCAACUUGGCUCAGCCUCCCUGUAGAGCAGUUCUAGUAUGAUUCAGUAUGAUUCUGGAAUAAAAUCAAAUGAUGCUUGUUUCCUUUCUUCAUCUGCUGUAAGGAAGUUUCUAAUCUCACAAGGCAAAUUUCUGCUUUAUCUGGAAUUCACAUUCAAAAAUUAUGUCUACACCUAAAACGUAUAAAAGAUGAGAGAGAGAUUCCUGGACACAUUGAAUGUAUCCACUAAAUUGAUACAACAAAAAACUGAGACAGUAUUAUGAUUGGUUCUCUAAUUCGUAUGUAUAAUGAAUUAGUAUUGUACUGAGUAAUUCCAGGCUAAGUGGCUAAAUAUUUAUAGUGAUAAUCUGUGUAUAUACACAGUUACUUUAAAAUAAAAGCAAAAUAAUGGCAUACACAUAACUAUAUUUAAACAAUUCAUAACAUAAAAUUGUCAGUCUUUUAAUGCCUUUCGUAGCUCAGAUGAUUUCUCAAAGACCAUGGCCAAAAGAAGGUCUAAUUUAGGUGACACAGCCUCACUAUGCGGUACCAAAUUCCAGACUGCACCAGGCCACUCAUCCAUACCUCACUUUUCAGUAGUCAGAUGCGGAAUGAUACAUUAUCAUAACCAACAAGCCAACAGACUUAGCAAGCUGCUGACUUACUAGUAAAUUCAAAUAAUCUGAGGUCAGCAAAGAGUACUUUUGGCUUGAGCAGAAUAUAUCAGUAUUUCCAAUUUUCCCCUGCACUAGAAUAUUAUAAAACUAAAUGCACCACAAUGCAAUAACACAAAUAGAAUAUUUUUAUUGAAUUUUUGGCAAGAUGUCUAAACUGCAUUUUCUUUUGCAAUACAUUUGUUACCAUUGUUAUGAAUUCUGAUUUUACUUAGGUGAGCGUUGAUUUUUACAGCAACCAAUAUUCUCCUUCUUCACAUUUACUCAUAAUCAGUAUAAUGGGAAAGAUAUUGAAAUAAAAUUACUGUGGAAUGAGGAGUAUAUCACAUAGUGUUCAGUAUGUAGAAACAGCUUUACAAUGGGUAAGCAUGCCACCUUCUCUGAGCCACACUAAUGCCAUCCGCAAGAGAUAGUAACUAUGUUUGCCAUAUCAAAACCCAGCCUUUUAAAGUAAACAUUGUUUUAUAUAGAUGGCUAAGCUCUACACCAUGCUCCUUAAUGGAAAGAAUAUAUGUAGGGGCAAGAGGACAUACGACUUUUAAUUGUGGUACUCCAAUGCAGGUAGAACCACAAACAGUAUUUUGCAAUCUGUGUCUUUUCCGUUACAUAAUUUCUAUCAUUGAGGUGACUUUAUCUUCUGACUUUGUUCAGGGCCUUGUGGUAAGCUUGCUAUCAGAGCAAAAAAUACAUAUGAUGAGUGGGUCUUCUUUAACUCACUCCAGCAUCACUAAAAUGUUCAUUGCUGAUAAAAUGUAGGUUAUAACCCUCUAGCAAUGUAAAAUCUAAUUAGUAUUUCUAAUGAUAAAUCAGUAAUUCAAAAUAAUUACUCUCUAAAGACAGACUUUUAGCCAUUGUGACUAAAGAUUUUAGAAAUGUCUCUUCAGAUUUAUCAGUAUUUCUCAGAUUAUGUAUUAUUGGAGGGAUUCCUUAUUUGUGAAUAAUGUUGGCCCUACCUUCAGGACUUAUGCUAUGAUUAAGAAAAAUAUCCUGUUUUGAAUUUGAAAUUGGAAAGGUAUCUCAAAGCCUUGGCUUAUUGUGCUUCUUUAGUGCCUUCUUCUCUCUAUUGAUAGAGAAGCUGUCAGGUAAUCUUAGAGAUAUGAGUAACCCCUGAUUGCUUUAGAAACAAUGUACAAAUGAUUUUACUUCAUAUAGUAACAAAAAUGCACUCUUACCAGGACAGCUGUUGUCCUGUUCAGAUCUGCCAGAACAUAUCCGAUUUUAGCUGUUUUAUGUAACUAUCUUAAUUAGUCAAAGCACUGUUGAAAAGUCUCUGACUCUUCUUGGCAAUCCAUCCAAACUCUUCAUAUGGCCCAAUAAAUGACAUAUCUGUUACUUUUAAGUUAGCAGAUUUCCUUCACUGGCCUCUGUUCUCAAGAAAACGAUCUGAAGCCAUCGGAUCCUGUUAUACUAUGGGGAAAAGAAGGAAAUUCAAACACAUACAUUCUUAUUAUCAUUGUCAUCAAAUUGUGCGGACACAUUUUAAAGAGGUUAAAAUCGACUUUCUAUACUUGGUUCAAGUACGUGAUGUCAUAUGAAAUACUCGUUGUUUUUUUUUUGUUGUUGUUGUUGUUUUUAUAAACUGGGGAGACUUGAUAUAGCCUGUUCUUUAAAGUCAGCAACUAAGCCAUUCCGUGAAAGUUAGAGUUCUGAACCAUGUUUAUGGUGAGAGCAGUGUUAAGCAGGUGAUAAGUGUUUAUGUAUCUGUAUUAUUCAAUUAAUAAUUUUAAGUAUUAAGGGUAAAAAAGUGAAGUAAUGGAGUUGAAAAAAGAUCAUUUUAGACUUCUUUGUACACAUACCCCUAAUUUUUUGUUUUUUAUUUUUAAUAGGUGAGAAAAUAUAAAUAAAGUGCUAUGUCAAAGAUAGUUUUAGAAAUUAGCUCAUCUGCAACCAGAAUUCAUGUUUACUUUGUUCAUCACUUGUAGCUUUCCUGGCAAUCAUAUUCAAGUUAACAUGGCAUAAUAUAUUUUACUUUUUUAUUCUCUACUUCCCAUGAUUGAACACUAAAUAGUCCAGCUAAAAUUAUAUUUCCAACUUAAACUGCUUUUGCUUCCCUCAUUUUGUCCAGCACAGAGCUUAGUAAGCUAUAAAUGCUGUUUUGUAUUUGUCACAUAGAGUUUUUCUUGAGAAAACUGUUUAGCAAUUGGAGAACUAAAUGGAACCUAUUGGAAUUCAUGUUCCAUGGUCAUUCUACUUGCAUUACAGACACAAUGACUAAGAUUUGACCCACUACUCACCUCCCAGGAGCAAGCCACUGCUUCCUGAUCAUUUAUCUUCACUUCAUCCCUAAUGAUAAGUUAUGAUUUUAUGGAUUCUAUGCAACUGGCAUCCUGCAAGAAUAUCUGAGGAAAUGUAAUACACCUAUAUUGUAACGCCCCACCAACUGUAUCUUGAUAUUUGGAUUUUUUUUUCCCUCUAGAACACCAGGGUUACUUUCAUUACGAAUCUUAGGAGUUUUAUGGGUUUUAUUAUAAUGUAAAUCCACAGAAAUUUGAGGAUUAGGAAGUAAAAUCAUUAGUUAUAUCUUCAGGGGAUAACUAUGGUUACCUCGAAAAACCUUGUAAAGUUGUCGUAAAAUGAUACAUAGGACAUUUUAAAUGGCUUAUGAGAAAGAAAUGCUGCCAGGCAGCACCCCUUUGGUAGCUAAGGGUAUAAAACACUCUGUGUUUAGGGAAGAAGCAGUUAAAUGACCACGCAAACAUAAAGUGUAGUGCUUCCUGAUAAACUGAAGUGACGCCAUUAAAAGCUGCAAUAAAAAGGGCAGAUCACUGGCCGACUAAGCAUGAUCACACGGGAGACUUAAUCAGCUUCUUCAAAUGGGUUCAUUUCCCUUCCUGUGCUUUCUAUAGUGUGGGCUUGAAACAAACGAACAAAAAAAUAUCCAUUCUGUCUUUUUCAUGUCUGUAACAAAAUCUGUAAUUCACAUUCUGAUAAUUCUAUGAUAUCAAUUGAAUUAUUGUCUUCCCAAGUCCCCAAGUGUUCCCUCAACAAAAUUUUCCUUCUUCCAACAUCCAUAUAUACAAAGCUACCUGAAAUCAGGUGAACCUCAUGGCCUCACUGCUGAUUUCGGAGCUCUGCCACUGUCCAGCAGGAAUUAAAAAAGUAUCUUUAGUCAUGCCUUCUCCCUCAGAGCUGGUCUCAGCUUCAAAAGCUUCGACUCUGCAGUCCACCAAGAUGGAAAAACCCAGCCCUGUCUUCUGUUCACCAUAUCUACCUCCUCCAUCCCUUUAAUUUGAGGACAUUCCUUUUUCCUUUUUACUCUGUGCCUGCCAUAUAUAUUUUCUUCUUCUCAUGAUUAUCUGAGUUAUGUUUUUUCCCACUUGAAAUACUACUGGACAUGGUGUAUGGUAUUGAUUCAACCACCAAAAUCCAUAUACAGUAUAAACAUUUGAGUGUGUCAAUACAGUGCUAACAAUUUGAUGAAGUUAAUAGUAGACAAGAUAAGAUGCUUUGGAAAAUUGACAACUUCUUUGAACUUUAAUUUUAUUCCCUUUCAAGAGAGAAAAUUCCAGAGAGCUAUUGUUAAUAUCAGUGAAAGAAAAUGAAAGGGAAAGUGUGGCCUAUGUGUUAAUGUGCCCACAGACAUAAACACAAACAGGUUGUAAUAGGCAGAAGGAGAUUAAGAGUAAUACAAAGAACACAUGAUGUAAUUCAAUGGCUUUCGUUAGAUGGGAUGUCUUUCUCAACCUGGGAGAAAAAAGCAAAAACAAAGACUUCUCAUCCUCCAAAAUGCAAGGAAUUUUUAUAAUUUGUUAUAAAAUUAAGUAAUGUAACCCAUAGAUUACAGGUAGGGAGGAGUGAGAAGAGACAAAUAGAAAGACAGAUUAAAAAAAAAGUUAUGGAUUGACCUAUCUUUUAAUCUAUUGAUCAAUCUAUCUAGACAGAUUGUUACAGAGAGAACCAAAACAUGCCAGAGUACCAGAGCUAUUCAGCAAUGCAGAGGAAGUUCCUGACUGUUUUUUUUAAGAGCAGAUGCAGAGAAGAGACCUGUUCCUACAAAACAAGUAAUUUUUGUAAAUUUUUCAGUUGAAAUAUUAAGGAAGGACAAACUUCAAACUCAAACCUUUCACAGCUGAGUGUGGUUGGUAAAGCUAGAGAAAUAGAAGUUGGCAAUGCAGUAAGUAAAGACUGAACCUGGGAAUUGUAAACAGAAUUUACUGACAAUUCUCUACAAUUGUUUUACUAAGUGAUCUUUCCAGCCCAGAUCAACAUAGAAACUCAGGGGACCAUCAGCCAUUGAUAGCCAACCAGAAUAAUAGAAGAAGAAAAUUGAUUGGACCGUGCUCCGUUUUGCUUAAUAUUUUUCUAAUUUUUUGGCAAGGAAUGAUUCUUAGUUAAUAGUUGAAAUUCUGUGUCUCAUACGGCUCGUUAUACUUUUACUUAAUCUAAAUGUGGAGAAAUUUGCAUAGACAUUUCAUUGUAUAGUUAAAACUCUGACAGGAAUAUCAUUGUUGUCAUGGUAAGAUACUGAAAGAAAGCCUACAGAUUUGGUUUCAUAAAUAUAUAUGAAUUUAUUGAACCUUAAUUGGCAGUAGUAAUGCAAACGCACUAAGUGAUGCCUAAAUGAGACUCUUCCAGCGCAACUUAAGUGUGGGUAAUAACUAUCUUAGUAUGCUGUACAUUACCACCAUGUGAUGUUGACAGUUGAUACAUUUAUAUUACACAUUUUAGUUAUAGCUAUCAUUUUAAGUAUUAAUAUAAUAGCCACAUUACCCAUCUUUACAAAUACCAAGGGACAUUAAAGAUAGGUAGGAAUUUAAUUACAUUUCUCUAGGUCUCAUAGACAAAGGGGCUAGUUAUAAUAAGUUUUACCUUUAUUCAAGAUCUUGGGCACUAAAUUAUAAAUUGGGAAGUUAGGCUGCCCUCCUAAGACAAAAAUAAGAUCAUGUUAGGGCCAACACUGAUUAAAACCACUAAUCUCUAUAAUCUCCAGAGCUUUUCUAACUCUACUUUAAUCUCUAACAUGCCUUCCUAGUGUUUUAUACUGACUGGAAACUAUUGACACCGUGAAGUUGAGAUUAAGAGGAUCAUUGAGUAUGGCACAGAGUGAGAUAUUAGAGACCUAUUCUAGGAGUUUACAACUGUGUUUCUCAGGGAUUGUCCUUCCCCAUAAUCUUCUUCUCCAGGCUAUUUUACCCCAUGUCACCCAGGAACAGCCAAAAUAAGUAGAGGUGGCAGGCCAAGUUUAUCCUUAGUUUUCCAAAGCAUGUAAGAAUACUUUUGCUUUUGUAUGUUUUCUACAAUAAAUUACUGAGUAAGAUAUUUUAAGCAAAAUAUUCUUUGAAAAUUCUUUGGAAAACCACUGAUUAAGGCUAAUAUUCCAAUCUUUUGACUAAUUGUGACCAUUUCUUGCUGAGGGAUCAAAGUUUUAACUGGCAUUACAAAUGAGACUUAUUAUUUUAGCUGAAUUUCAUAUUGACACUAGCUGACAUGGAGUGAUAUAGUUAUCCUGUCUCCUAUGAUCUUUCCAUUUUUCAUGCAAUCAAAAUAAAGGUUAUAUAAACAUGUAUAAUAAAUAUACACAUGUAAGAAUUUGUAUGUAGCUUUAAUGUAUGUUGUUUUUGUUUGUCCUUUAUGUAUUCUAUAUAUUUAAGCUUUUCUUUAUGUAAAGUCACAGUUAGAUAGAUUUAAAUGAUUCAUCACAAGUUUUCCACUGAAGUGAAAAUAUUUACUCCAAAGGCCAAGGAAACCCUGAUGAAUAAGACAAAGACAGUGGAUUUUGAUAAGACAAGUUUGCAGCACAGUGGAGGUGGAACAGGAGAAAAACGUUGAUCAUUUCUUUUAUUUUCUGUAUUUCAGUGUUUUGAUAUCUGGGUCCUUGCUGAACCUAGGGCAACUGUGCUUCUUAGGGAUAGCUAGUUCUUUGUGAUUGCAAACAACUACCAGUGAGUAUGCUUUCAAAUGUGAAUUGACCAAUCCAGAACCCAUACUCCACUACCUACUCUGUAGAGCUCUCACACCUGGUCCAUGAAAUACUUUCCUUAAUCACUCCAGGGUCGCAUACCAGACAACAAGGUACAUCCCAUAUGUCCUCGAGCCUGUAGAAAUUAUUCAAACUAACCAAUUUAAAGCCGGUUUACCCUGUCUUUCCUAUUCUUUCCUGCAGAAAUCACAAUAAGGCCUCUUGCCCAUACUUUCCCGUUGUUCAUCUGACCCCUGACUGCCUCUGCUACUUACCUCUGUGGUCCUCAUUCAUGACAUGCCAUGCCUCUUGUUUCUAGGAAAUAGAAGUAAAUGUGCUCAUUUAUGACAAUCAUUACUGUAUCUGUACAUCUUACUUACCAUACCGAAAUAAAACAAAUUCUGGGUACCCUUAAAACUGGAUAUAACAUUACAUCGUUUUGAAUUCUAGUUCCUUGGGUUCCUAAAUGUGUGGCAUUGAACACAUUACUUAAAAAAAGAAUUUGUGUUUCCUCAGCUUUAUGUAGUAAAGAUAAUAAUAUUUAACUCAAAGAAUUGAGUGUUUUUAUAUAUAUAUACUAUAUAUAUAGUUUUAUUGAGUGUUUUAUAUAUAUAAAUUGCAUAUUUUAUAUAUAUAGUUUAGAACAGUAUCUGUCAAAAAUUAAAUGUUCAAUAAAUAUGAGCUAUUGUUAUAAAAUAUAAUAAGCAUGGUAUGAUUAUUAUAAUUACAAAUCUCCAAAUUUCUAAAAUAAUUUAACGCGUAACAAAUUGAACUCAUAGACUACAAUUUUAAUUUCAUUGUUAUUCAUUGCACAUGUGUGUUUUCUACACAUCUGCUUAAAUUUUUAUUAUUUCUCAACUAGCAGAUAUUUUCACUUGCCUUAAAAUAAUAAUAUAUUACCCCAUUAGCUGUGAUCUAAGCAUCAUAGCCUUUCAACUUAUUGGUGAAUAACUAGAGAAGUAGAAAGAUUAACCAACUAGGCCAAAUCACUACACGAGUUUUCCUCCUUAUUCCUUGGAGAUUGAUAUUCAGGGAUGAAAGACUCUAUUCUCUGAUCACAAUUCCAGAAUUCCUUACACAAAUCCACCCAGCUGUCACCCAAGAGCUCCCCAGACUUAUGUCCUCUUAACUAAUUUUCUGAAAAUGAAGUCCUAAGGUAGCCUAAGCUAGUCUAAGUUCCCUCUCAUAAGUAUUCAUUACUGUUUUCAUAGGUUGAAAGAGGGAAAAUUUGUGGAAACAUGAGAAGCAAAGAAGAUCAAAGAAGAGCAGGAAGAGGCAGAGAGCAAAAAAGGUUUUUUUAAAGGUAUACUGUGGACUUCCUUCUAUUAAAAGAUUCUUGUCACAGCCCUCCAAAAGUAGCUGCAGGGAAAUAUGAGAGGCUUAUAGAUGAGUUCGCUCUGAGCCCUAUGUCUGGCACAUUCUUUACUGAGAGGUUUGGAUAAACUAUUUGCCAAAACAGUGUUUAGCUAUUUGCCAAGCUUAAUAAAUUUAGCAGCAAUGUUUACUGGAACAGGGCAUGACCCAUGCAAAAUACAUCUGGUGAAAAUCUAGUAACUGUGAUUUGAGCGGUUCCAUAAGUCUCUAGAAGCAUAUCCUCAAGGGUCAGCUUUCAUCAUAUUUGUUUGGGGAAAAUUCUUUCUUUGUAGUUCACUCUCUAAAACAAUAAUAAUUCUCAUAAUAAUCAUGAUUAUUAUAGUAACAGUAUUAAUAAUAACAAUUAUAAUAAAUAUAAGGAAAUGAGGAAAUAAAUAAGGAAAAACAGCUUAAAAUAGUGUAUACUUAAAUCUUUGUACAAGAUAGUUUACUUAACAUUGGAAUGAGAAGUCACUAUUUAGAAAAGUAAAAAUCUAAGCAAGGACACAAAAUAGUAGAGAAAAACAAAACUAAUAGCAUGAAAUAAAACAAAAACAGAAAAUAUAUUUUAUUUAUUUUUCAAUAAAUUUCCCAAGAUUGAUUUUCUUAUCAUUAGCAUCUGAAGGAAACUCAGAAAGAUGAGAUUUAACAAAUAAGAAAAAUUCUUCCUAAUAAUUGAGAAUUGUGUGUAUAUGUAUAGAAAUCAUUAUUUAACCUUGCAUAUGUCAGGACAGUCAUAAGCUUUCCAAGUCUGAUUACUACUUACUAAUGGGUAAUGACCUGGCUCUGAUUAUUCACUAGAAAGCCUCCUGUUACAUCUUCAGAUAACUCUGAUCUCUAGGAAUGUACUACUGUAUGAAGGACAAGAAUUAUGAGGUGAGAAUGUUACCGUGUGUACAAGUUGGAGUUUUCUGAAUGUUCGGUAGAGGUUCACAUGACGUUAGAAAAUAGGAGGACAUUUUUGGAAGAUGUGCAAACUUCUGGCAAGGGAGACAAGUUGCAGACUGGGAUCAGGCAGACAAAUAGAUUUCAAUGUGAAUCUUUAACUUAAUAGAGACUUUUCCGUAUUUUAAGUAGAGAAAUAAAUGUAUAUUCACACAUGUGGUUGUAUGUCAUGAUUGGAUGAUGAUUAAAGAGACAUUUUCAUAUACAGGGCAUGUGACUUUUGCAUAAUAGGAUCUCUGCUGUGUCUAUGGAGAGGGAGCUGGAGAUUGUAUUCAGGAAUUCCUGAUAGAUACUAAUUGCCAAAUGAACAAUGUUCCAAUGCCAGGAAUCAGUUUCUAAGCAUAUGACUUGGGAAGGCUAUAAAAACAAACCGUUGAAAACAUCACAUGGUAAAUGAACAUUUGGAAGAAAUUCUUAUGCAUGUGUAACGUGACACUAUAUAGUAACUCAGAAUACUAUACAGGAUACUGUAUAGUAUGUCAAAUCCAAAGGAAUAAAGAGCACAAGUAAAGAUAGUUACCUAAGUACAUAUUGUAACUAGUUUUGCAUAUCUAUGACUUUUCCUGUUUGAUUUAAGGAACAAUUUAAACAAUGUAAAAUAUAUCAUAUAAACAAUAACUAAAAAAUAACUAGAGAGGCUAUAUUAAUAGCAGACAAAAUAUGUGUUAAGACAGAUGUUGUUACUAAUGACAAAAUAGGACAUUUUAAAAUUAUAAAGUGACCUGUACAUCUAGAAAGGCAUAAUAGUUAUAAACAUAUAGGCACCUAACAAUAAGCAGCAAAAUACAUGAAUCCAAAAAAAACUGAAGAAUUGAAGGGAGAAAUAGGACAAUUCACCAAUAAGAGUUGGAAAUACUAAUAAAUACUUUUAACAUGGAGAGAACAGCUAAAUAUGAUUUAAACAACAUUAUUAACCAGCUAGGACUAACAGACAUCUUUUUAUGGAACAUCUUACUCAAGAAUACCUAAAUAUGCAUUCUUAUCAAGUACACAUGAAGCAUUCUUUAGCAUAAGCCAUAUAUUAGUUAUUAAAAUAAGCUCAACUGAAUUUAAAAGGAUUGAAAUUUUAGAAAGAAUGUUUUCUGAUAUCAAUAGUCAAUAGAAUAAAAUUAAGAGUCAAUAACAGAACUUGGGAAAUUCACAAAUAUGUAUAAAUUAAACAACAUUCACAUAAAUAGAAAAGAAGCCAUAAGAAAAAUUAAAAAAAAAUUUGAGAUGAAUAAAAAUGAAAACAUAAGAAACUAACCUUUAUGGGAUGCAGCUAAAGCAGUUUGGAGAGGAAAAUUAUCAUUGUAAAGAGUACUGGAAAAGAAAGAGGAAAUCUCAAAUCAAUAACCUUGUCAUUCAUCUUAAGAAACUAGAAAAGAGAGCAAACUAAAUUCAAAACAAGCCUAAGAAAAGCUACAACUAAAAUUAGAGCAAAAAUAAAUAAAAUAGAAAAUAGAGAAAAACUGACAAGACUAAAAGUUGGUUCUAUGAAAAAGAACAACCAAAUUGGCAAACCUUUAGCUAGACUAACCAGAAAAAAAGACAAAACACUGAAACUAUAAAAAUCAGGAAUGAAUAAGGAAAAAUCACUUUCAACCUUACAGAAAUAAAGAUUAUAAGAGAAUACUAUGAAGAAUUGUCUGCCAAAACAUUACUUAUUCUAGAUGAAAUGGACUUAAAAAAAAUGCAAACUAAUGAAACUUAAGAAAAAAUAAUCAACCUUGAUAUACUUAUGACAAGUAAAGAAACUGAAUUAGUAAUUAAAAAAUAACUACCCACAAAGGAAUCUCAGGCCCGGAUGGCUUCAUCAGUGAAUUAUUAUUAUUAUUAUUAUUUUUUGAGACAGAGUCUCACUCUGUCGCCCAGGCUGGAGUGCAGUGGCGCAAUCUCAGCUCACUGCAAGCUCUGCCUCCUGAGUUCACG